CAGCAGCCACGGGAAUACGGAGGGUGCAAGCGUUAAUCGGAAUUACUGGGCGUAAAGCGCACGCAGGCGGUCUGACAAGUCAGAUGUGAAAUCCCCGGGCUUAACCUGGGAACUGCAUUUGAAACUGUCAGGCUGGAGUCUUGUAGAGGGGGGUAGAAUUCCAGGUGUAGCGGUGAAAUGCGUAGAGAUCUGGAGGAAUACCGGUGGCGAAGGCGGCCCCCUGGACAAAGACUGACGCUCAGGUGCGAAAGCGUGGGGAGCAAACAGGAUUAGAUACCCGCGUAGUCCCUGUCUCUUAUAC
rnacentral:rRNA from 1 species